GGGGAAUAGCCCAAAAAAAUUUGGAUUAAUGCCCCAUGGUAUGUAAUUGUGGCAUCACUAUUACAUUAAAGGUUACGGUACCAGAUGACUAUGCGUCCCAUUAGUUAGUUGGUAAGGUAACGGCUUACCAAGGCAGCGAUGGGUAGGGGCCCUGAGAGGGGGAUCCCCCACACUGGUACUGAGACACGGACCAGACUCCUACGGGAGGCAGCAGUGAGGAAUAUUGGACAAUGGGCGGGAGCCUGAUCCAGCCAUGCCGCGUGCAGGAAGACGGUCCUAUGGAUUGUAAACUGCUUUUGUACGGGAAGAAUAAGGGCUACGUGUAGCCUGUUGACGGUACCGUAAGAAUAAGGAUCGGCUAACUCCGUGCCAGCAGCCGCGGUAAUACGGAGGAUCCGAGCGUUAUCCGGAAUCAUUGGGUUUAAAGGGUCCGUAGGCGGGCCAUUAAGUCAGGGGUGAAAGUCUGCGGCUCCACCCGUAGAAUUGCCCUUGAUACUGGUGGUCUUGAGUUAUGGUGAAGUGGCCGGAAUAUGUAGUGUAGCGGUGAAAUGCAUAGAUAUUACCUAGAACACCGAUUGCGAAGGCCGGUCACUAACCAUAUACUGACGCUGAUGGACGAAAGCGUGGGGAGCGAACAGGAUUAGAUACCCUGGUAGUCCACGCCGUAAACGAUGGAUACUAGCUGUCCGGGCGCAAGCCUGGGCGGCCAAGCGAAAGUGAUAAG
rnacentral:rRNA from 1 species